rnacentral:lncRNA from 1 species
GGGUGGUAAAGGGUUAUUUUCGUGCAACGUUUUCGGCCUUUUUAUUUCACGUAUUUUCGUGUUUUAACGUUUUAUUUCUCGUUUUCUCGUGUUUGGAUCGAUUUGCGUGCUUCGUGUUUUCCCUUAUUUAUUUUCCGUGUUUCGUUUCAGCAUAGUCAGUGCUCUUAAUUUCUCGUGCAGGUCCCGAAUUUGAUUAAAAAGUCAGUGUUUUAUAAUACCUUCUGAAACUUGUGUAAACUUAUAGAAACUGAUGUAUAUAUUGUUACCAUUCUAC